UCUUAUGGAUGAGCAAAGAAGUGGUUUCUUAAAAUGGAACCUACCCUGAUGAAGAUGCUGUUAA
rnacentral:pre_miRNA from 5 species